GUAGUUUGAUCUUGGCUCAGAUUGAACGCUGGCGGCAUGCCUUACACAUGCAAGUCGAACGGCAGCAUGAUCUAGCUUGCUAGAUUGAUGGCGAGUGGCGAACGGGUGAGUAAUACCAUCGGAACGUGCCCUGUAGUGGGGGAUAACUAGUCGAAAGAUUAGCUAAUACCGCAUACGACCUGAGGGUGAAAGUGGGGGACCGCAAGGCCUCAUGCUAUAGGAGCGGCCGAUGUCUGAUUAGCUAGUUGGUGGGUAAAGGCCCACCAAGGCGACGAUCAGUAGCUGGUCUGAGAGGACGAUCAGCCACACUGGGACUGAGACACGGCCCAGACUCCUACGGGAGGCAGCAGUGGGGAAUUUUGGACAAUGGGCGAAAGCCUGAUCCAGCAAUGCCACGUGUGUGAAGAAGGCCUGG
rnacentral:rRNA from 1 species